rnacentral:rRNA from 1 species
AGUGGCGGACGGGUGAGUAACGCGUGAGAAUCUGCCUUGGGGUCGGGGACAACCACUGGAAACGGUGGCUAAUACCGGAUAAGCCGAUUGGUGAAAGAUUUAUUGCCCGAAGAGGAGCUCGCGUCUGAUUAGCUAGUUGGUGAGGUAAGAGCUCACCAAGGCAGCGAUCAGUAGCUGGUCUGAGAGGACGAUCAGCCACACUGGGACUGAGACACGGCCCAGACUCCUACGGGAGGCAGCAGUGGGGAAUUUUCCGCAAUGGGCGAAAGCCUGACGGAGCAAGACCGCGUGAGGGAGGAAGGCUCUUGGGUUGUAAACCUCUUUUCUCAGGGAAGAAGCUCUGACGGUACCUGAGGAAUCAGCCUCGGCUAACUCCGUGCCAGCAGCCGCGGUAAUACGGAGGGGGCAAGCGUUAUCCGGAAUUAUUGGGCGUAAAGCGUCCGCAGGUGGCGAUUCAAGUCUGCUGUCAAAGCACGGGGCUUAACUCCGUAAAGGCAGUGGAAACUGAAUAGCUAGAGUGCCGUAGGGGUAGAGGGAAUUCCCGGUGUAGCGGUGAAAUGCGUAGAGAUCGGGAAGAACAUCGGUGGCGAAAGCGCUCUACUGGACGGCAACUGACACUCAGGGACGAAAGCUAGGGGAGCGAAUGGGAUUAGAUACCCC